rnacentral:rRNA from 1 species
UACGUAGGGGGCAAGCGUUGUCCGGAGUUACUGGGCGUAAAGCGCCCGCAGGCGGUCGUCGCCGUUUAGGGUGACAGCUGUCGGCUCAACCGGCAGAGGACCUUGAAGACACGACGACUUGAGGGCCAGAGAGGGACAUGGAACUCCGGGUGGAGUGGUGAAAUGCGUAGAGAUCCGGAAGAACACCAAAGGCGAAGGCAGUGUCCUGGCUGGCACCUGACGCUCGGGGGCGAAAGCGAGGGGAGCGAACGGG